CCUUACCUGGGCUUAAAUGUAGAUUGCAUAAGGUGGUAACAUCUUUUCUCUUCGGAGCUAUUUACAAGGUGCUGCAUGGUUGUCGUCAGCUCGUGCCGUGAGGUGUCGGGUUAAGUCCCAUAACGAGCGCAACCCCUAUCGUUAGUUGCUAGCAGGUAAUGCUGAGGACUCUAGCGAGACUGCCACCGUAAGGUGAGAGGAAGGUGGGGAUGACGUCAAAUCAGCACGGCCCUUAUGUCCAGGGCUACACACGUGUUACAAUGGUCGGUACAAAGGGCAGUUACCAGGCAACUGGAUGCCAAUCCCUAAAGCCGAUCCCAGUUCGGAUUGGAGUCUGCAACCCGACUCCAUGAAGUUGGAUUCGCUAGUAAUCGCGCAUCAGCCAUGGCGCGGUGAAUACGUUCCCGGGCCUUGUACACACCGCCCGUCAAACCAUGGAAGCUGGGGGUACCUGAAGUAUGUGACCGCAAGGAGCGUCCUAGGGUAAAACUGGUAACUGGGGUUAAGUCGUAACAAGGUAGCCU
rnacentral:rRNA from 1 species